AGCACAGGCUACAGACUGAAUGCUCACCACCUGACUUGCUUGCUUUCCCUCAAGGCAAUCAACAACAGUUGAAAUGAGAGGGGACCAUUUCAAGCAGUAAGAGGGGACAGCUGGUCAAGGAAGACCCUUUUUCAGCUUUCCCAGAUGCCAGGCCAACCACAAGCUCCAGGCUGAUGCAAUUUGCAGCCAGUGACAUAGCUGGCUGCAGCAGAAGUGAGAAGGUCUCUGAGAAGUUUGCCUGGUGAUAGGAGCAUCAGUCUCACACUCAGGUGUUUAUGUUUUAUUAUACACCUCAGGAUAGAUACCUCGUGAGGCUUGUGACUUGAGGAGUCCCAUCUAACCUGAGGAAGAAAAUAUUUCCCCUGAAAUUUGAAAGACCUCUUUCAAAAGAAGCCUGUUCCACUAGGAAAAAAUAGAAGCAUCCCUCUCCAGCUCUCACCCUGGGCAACUGCAGCUCACUGUGCCUCUGGUUCCUAGACAGCUCCAGCCCUGGACCCCCAGCUCAUGGAAGUCUCCAGCCCUGGGUGUCUCCUGGAUGUCUCCAGGUCAUGGAUGGCUCCAGCCCUGGUUGUCUCCCAGAUAUUUUCAGCUUGUUCCAGGUUCCAGCUCGAUAUCUUCUGGCUGUCUCCAGCUUGUUGCUAUUUCCAGCCCCAUGUCUCUUGGAUCUUUCCAGCCCUUGAAGUCUCCUGGCUAUCUCCAGCUUUCUUCUGGGUCAAGCUCUUUAUAACUUGUGCUUGUUUAUUAUUAUUAUUUUUUUAAGUGCUCUUUUGACAAAGCUAUAAAUCAACCAGUCAUAAUUUGAAUACUAAUAUGAACUGUCAUAGUUUUCCAGAAAUCGCCUAAAUAUUGCACAAUUAAGGGGGUAACCGUUCUGCAUGGGGUACAAUGAAUGAGCAGUGGAAAGGGAAAAGCACUAUUUUGCUCAGAGAUGAUUUUGAACACUUUGUUCGGCCUGGUGCAUGCUAGCAUCCCAGACUUUGGGGACUGCCACGACUGGACCCCCCCUCCAUACAUCCAGCCCACCCCCCUCCCACGUCCCCUCCAACCCACCCUCACAGCCCCCCAGCCCAUGGGGUACAAGGUUUGCCCCAGAAACAGCCGACAUGGUCUCCCUUCUUGAGCCCAACCACACAGAAACUGGUCCAUGCUGCACACCCCAAACCAAGUGACCCAGUCCUCCAUCUCUGAGCCCCACAACCAGCCAAAUGAGGCUAUUCUGAGCCCCCCAGCCAUGGCACUGGGUCUGUGUAUUGGCAACACAGAGGUGGGCCUGUGGCAAAGGCUGGCACACACCCAGCACCGUGCCUCUAAGCCCCCGACCAGCCCAA